rnacentral:misc_RNA from 1 species
AGAUGGAUCAUUCAUAAAUUAUAUUUAGUGAUGUGGUUACUUAUAUCCAACAUGAAAUGAGAGGUUUUGGUUGACCGGUGUGACUAUGGUUGACCUGACUAUGGUUGAUCCAUGUGACAUGGUUGAGACGUGUAACAAAUUUUUGUAAUGAAUGUGGUUUUCUGUUACAAUAUAGAGGAGAUAAAUCUAUUUACGCCUUUCAGCGAUGGAUGUCUCGGCUCUCAUAACGAUGAAGAACGCAGCUAGCUGCGACAUGCAGUGUGACAUGCGAACUUCUGUGAAUCACUAGAUUUUUGAACGCAAACGGUACUUCUAAAUUUAUUUAGGAGUAUGUUCACUUCAGUGCUUUUAUAUAUUUGUUGUCCUAAUUGGUGGUCAACGUGAAUAGUUGCUGUGAUUAUGGUAACUGUAAGCUAAUGGUAAUAACUUUUAGGUGACCGUGUAAAGUUCAUUACUAAGUUUAUUAAUAAGCCUGAAUUUGAGCAAGUAUACCCGCUGAACUUAAGCAUAUUAUUAAGCGGAGGAAAAGAAACUAACUAGGAUAUUUUUAGUAACUGCGAGUGAACAAAAUACAGCUCAAACUGGAAAUCGACAGUUCUCUGUCGAAUUGUAGUCUCAUGAAAUGCAGCCUGUAAAUGUUCUGAGUUAAGUCUCUUGGAAAAGAGUACCAAAGAGGGUGAAAGUCCCGUCUUUACUCAAGACUAUUUACUUUCGGUGCAUUUUCAAAGAGUCGCGUUCCUUGAGAUUGGAGCGCUAAGUGGGUGAUAAACUUCAUCUAAAGCUAAAUAUUAACGAGAGUCCGAUAGAGCAUAAGUAGCGUGAGCGAACGAUGAAAAGAACUUUGAAAAGAGAGUUAAAAGGUACUGAAAUUGCUGCAAUGGAAGUGGAGAGAAUCGACGGUCUAGCAGAGUUUUCUAUAUGCUCUGGAUAUUCUUUUAUCCACGAGUGUGUGGUAGAGAUUUUGCGGUGACUCUGGAAGUGAUUGUAUAAACUGGUUACGUUAUUGACAGGCUCUAUAUUAGGGCCAUGUCUUUAAUGUUUUCAGCCUGUGUGAUCUAUGUAUUUCUAAUUCAACAUUUCUGUUGAAUUAUACUCUUCCAGAUAUGUUGAUUCUCUCCUCCCCGUCUUGAAACACGGACCAAGGAGUCUACUUUAUGUGCGAGUACAAGGGUGGAAAACCUAUGUGCGAAAUGAAAGUGAUUGUUAGGAUGGUUUUACCUGCACUGACACUCGGCCACUGAGUCGAAGUAGAGCACAUAGAAUAGGACCCGAAAGAUGGUGAACUAUGCCUGAGUAGGGUGAAGCUAGAGGAAACUCUGGUGGAAGCUCGUAGCGAUACUGACGUGCAAAUCGUUCGUCAAACUUUGGUAUAGGGGCGAAAGACCAAUCGAACCAUCUAGUAGCUGGUUCCCUC